GAAUCGAAGGAGCCUUUUCUAUCCUGCAAGCUGAUGAUCGCUCCACUGGGCGAAUCGCUGAAGCUUUCAGCACACAGUGUCACGCCCGGGUGGAUGUCGUCUUUCUUCCGCAAGUCCGUCUUCUCCAGAAACGGACCUUACCUAGAGGCAUAAACAAGAGCGUUCAUUUGAAGAAAUCACAAUCCAAAGGAUGCGCUGGGGUGUACACUUCAGAGAGUCGCGGUCGGGAAGAGUCAGUGGAGCGCUCCGGCAAUAGAAAAGCACGGAGCGCUGACAGAGCGAGAAGGGCACCAAGGGUGCGACAUCGACGACCCCCUGCACUGGUGCGUUCCGUCAGUGGCACCUAACGCAUGGAGGUCGUGAACCGAGACUGGAACGCCGCUGUCAAUAUCAGAAGAUGUGCGGUUCUGAGGAAGAGCCCCAAGGUGCUGACGCGAUCCAAAUUCCUAGGGUAGCCAGUCAUACUCGAAGUGUACAAGAAGAAGCUGAAACCGGUUGCAGGCAGCCGGUCAAAAAAGGCUGGUAGGUGACUCUGAAUGGAUAUUCACUUUCCCUAUGCUCGCGAAACAUGUUCGCUUCUUAAGCACUGCGCCAUAAAGACUCGAGGAUAGCUAAAGGAGCUGGCGACUCCCUGAAAAUGUGCUAUGUCUCGAUAAUCUCUCGUGUGUGUUUUGCGUUUGCGACGGCACCGUCCCUGAACCAGGUGCGACGAGCUUUCAUAGAGGUGUACGGCACUUGGAACUCGGGCGCGUCUGCAGAGGUGCUGGGGUCCGUUUCCCUGCUCGUACCCAUAUCCAUAUAUCAAAAAGGAAGCUGUUUGGGGACUUGAAUUCUACUUCAUCGAUACGAAACAGUUUUUCACUCGUUCAUGACGUCAGAAGCGCGCUUCUGCUCUGUGCGACACACGAGUUGAUCAAACUCGCCGGUUACCGGUGAGCCAACAGUGCCGACUCUAAGGGUAGCAAAUGCGCACAAACGAGAAAAAAAAACAUCGUCUGCAACAGUGCCUCAAACCAGCCUCGGGUCUAGGUUGCCAGAUCAGCAUCUGCGGGAACUGGUUUCUGGGGAAGGGUGCCAUUGUCGAUGCGUCGCCAUUGUUGGCUACACUGUUUACGGGGUUUUGUAUAGGGUCCAUUUCCAAGAUAUUGUCCGGUCUCCGCUUUCAAAGGAAGCUGUUUUCUGUGUAGAGUGAAGGCAGAUGAACAUCGUUUCUUCAACCUUUGCUGUCAAGCAACACGGCGGACAGGCCGCCGUACAUCGCAGUCGAUUCCGCGGGACACGUGCAACUGCCUACCCUGGAUGGAGUCCAAACGAGAGCGCAAAACCCGGAAAAGAUGGGAAUCUGGAGCUCCCGCUCUCGGUUCCCAGGAAGCCCUUCAACUGUGAACUACCUCUGCCUCAAGAUAAAGUCGCUGGGCGAGCCAGCGAAAAGCGCGGGCUCCUCUGCACUAUGAGCUUAUCUAGUGGUGGUCUUCACGAGCAGUUGUGUCAUUUACACCCCAGCUCUAGUGAUUCCAAGUAUACCCAAGGCGGCAGCGAGUUCGAAACAAGAAAUGCUGGAGAGUUUGACUGGACGGGAUCCCAGCAAUUGCCCCGACUUGCAAAGGGCUCGAUCUCGCUCCGAUACGUUUUGAAAAACGAGGGUGAAUUCACCACUCGGUUGACCGGUGCUGUUGCGCACCGUGAAGACCGGAGGGAUUGUGGUCCCCGGAGGCACUCUGACCCCAUGAUCAGCGAAGCAAGCGAGUAUGCUUGCACCUUGGCUGGUAUCCAGCUGGAACGGGGCUAUGAAACGAUGCACGUCACGCUCUGUGACGGUGGCAUCGACUCCCGAAAGACGCAGACAAGGAGACUGUGUCGCCGACAUCAGGUCCAUGGGGCCUUCACGAGUAGAUGCUGAAGUUCCAGCCUGGACGACAGGCGCAAGCCCUUCCGGUGGUGUGUGCGACACCAUCUCGGGCCGGAAUGUCGCCGAACUUGGCGUCCAGUCGCCUGGUUGACGAAGCGGGACACCCAUCGCUACCGCGCUCGCUUGCUGGGAUACGUUAGCUGGGCUCAACCCCAGCUCACGAUCCGUGCGGUUACCGUUUCGUACUUGUGCCCCACUGGUUGCUGCGGGGCUCCCGGCUGCUCCUAGACCGAGGGCGGCCCUUUUUGCCUCGUAGCGGCUGAGUAGAUUCCACAUGUCCUGGUGUGAUGACAGGAAAACUUCAAUAUAGCGAUGGCCCAUGCGAUCCUCGUGCUUGUGGAGGCAUCGUGAGGCAUCUUCUGGAGAGGCAAACUGAACGAAGACCUCGCCAGUUUUGCGCCCCUGGUGAUUGUAGACGAACACAAUGCCUCCGGGGAGAACCUGCAGCGGGCGGCGAAUGAAAUCCUCCAAUAAGGACGAGUCUGCACCCAUCGUGGCCUUCGCGGGCGGCUGUCGAAUCCAUUCAGCAACGUCACGCGUAGUCGCAGACCAUGGCAAGCCUCGUAGGCGCACGACGCUGCCUACCGGUGUUGCCGGUGCUACAGUGCUUGCCGCACUAGCGGUCGAGGACGGGAUAACCACUGACUGUGGUGCUCGAGCGGUACUUGCUGUCCCCAGCAAUUCGCCACCGGCAAAUGGCGUUCCGAUGCCAAGCGCAUCUCGGUGGCUCCUCACGGGUGGCAUUUGCGCAGGAAUGCCCAUGGCCACGCUUUGUGCAGGCAUGAAUGCUCCGGGCCAUGAGCUGCCACCCACCAUCAUAUCCGCUCCAAUGUAUGGCAAUGUACCCGAGGCGUAUCCGUUUCGCGGCAUCGAUCGCAUGAGUCCACUAUUCCAAGAAAAGUGUUCCGGGAUAAACAUGCCUCCGUCUUGGGCGAAUCGUG